GACGAACGCUGGCGGCGUGCUUAACACAUGCAAGUCGAACGGAAAGGCCCUGCUUUUGUGGGGUGCUCGAGUGGCGAACGGGUGAGUAACACGUGAGUAACCUGCCCUUGACUUUGGGAUAACUUCACGAAACUGGGGCUAAUACCGGAUAGGAGCUCCUGCUGCAUGGUGGGGGUUGGAAAGUUUCGGCGGUUGGGGAUGGACUCGCGGCUUAUCAGCUUGUUGGUGGGGGAGUGGCUGACCAAGGCUUUGACGGGUAGCCGGCCUGAGAGGGUGACCGGCCACAUUGGGACUGAGAUACGGCCCAGAGUCCUACGGGAGGCAGCAGUGGGGAAUAUUGCACAAUGGGCGGAAGCCUGAUGCAGCAACGCCGCGUGCGGGAUGACGGCCUUCGGGUUGUAAACCGCUUUCGCCUGUGACGAAGCGUGAGUGACGGUAAUGGGUAAAGAAGCACCGGCUAACUACGUG
rnacentral:rRNA from 1 species